GGGGGGUAGGCCGGAUCCCGGGCUGUGUCCCGGCGCCCUGUGCUCCUGGUCUGCGCUGUUGGAUUCGAGCUCCCGCCCCACAGCCCCCU
rnacentral:pre_miRNA from 1 species